rnacentral:lncRNA from 1 species
GGAGAGAGGAGAGGGGAGGAAUUCGACCAGAGGUUCCUUGCUUUAGGAGAUGUGUCGAAUUCCCUAUGCUAUGGGGUCUAUUUAUACUUGUAGACUCCUUAAGGGUUACAACCUAAACCCUAAUUGGAUAAUCUUCUCUUAAGGCUAUCCAAAUCCAUUCCAUAGAUAAGUAUAUGGACGAUUUUAGCUUUCCUAAAGCUCUUAGAAUCCGUCCAUACCAUAUCCAAAUGGAUUUACAGUCUAAAGCUUAACUAUCAAACAAUUGACAGUUUAUACCCCUUUAUUUAAUUAAUCUCUUUAAGUCACCAAAUUAAUUCUAAUUAAUUCUAUGACUUAUAUUAAUCAAAUAACAAUAUAUUAUUCAUUAUAUUAUUCACAUAAUAUAUUAAUAAUAUUUACUCUCUCUUAAUAAAUCAUCCUAUCAAGUUGCUAUGGUGAAGGCAACCCAAAAGGACCAUGCACAACCGGAUCAAAUACUUGCCUAAUAUAGUUGCAGCCUUAGACACUAUUCCAACAGUCUCCCACUUGGAUAAGUCUAGUAACUAUACAAGUACAAUUCGGUUUGCAAUCAUAGCUCUCAAAGACGCUGUCAACUCUGAUCUAAUCAAUCUUGUCCUUUAGAUAAGGGAACGUACAGUCCUCUGUUAGAUAUCAUGCUGACAAUCCUAUGGAAUGGUUAGUCAAGCAUUUAGGUUUCUCGAUCUCUGAUUUAUUUGACAUAGAACUUAAUCGAACACAUCAAUUCAGUUCUGACCGGGCCCGGCACAUAAGUCAAAUCAAAUCAUCGAGCGGCCGAGAUAUCGCUUUUACCUUCUUAGAUAAAAGUUACAGAUAAACUUCGACUUAUAUGCAUUUACUUAUUCAUUAACCAACUAUACACAACAAUACGUUUUAUAACACCAAGUUACUGAUGCGUUUUCGUAUUAUCAAUGUACAAUCAAUUAACAAAUAAUAAACCAUAUAUCUAGGUUUUAAGACUAUAUGAUAUUAUCGUCUUGCGAUCACCUUUUAUAUCGUAUUCCAUAAGGUGAUUCCAGCAAGCGCGGGUUUAUUCCAAUGCUCAAAACUAGUUCAUAAGCACUCAUGAACGUUGCAGCAAUCCUUUGCUAUGUCUAACACCAUUUAGACAUUCUACACACCAAUUCAUGACAAUCUUCUUUCAUAUCUACUCCCAACAUAUGAACGAUUGUGGACCAUUUGAAUAAUUCGAUUAUUCCUAAUAAACUCAAUUAUUCUGGAAGUCAAAACAUGCAAAGUGAAACAAUAGCUAAACAAUUAACAUAAGAUAGUAACAUUACUCAUAAAUAAAACUCCUUUAUUUAAUCAUCAAAUGUCAAUUACAUUUAUCUAUUACACGUUUCUAAUACUAUCUAAUCUAUGCUAAUAUCAUCCUUCAGCCCAAUACUCCUAGCAUGCUGCAAGUGCUUAACCCUACUCAGUCCCUUCGUAAGCGGAUCUGCUGGGUUAUCUUCUGAUGAUAUCCUCUUCACUACGAGUUGUCCUUCUUCUACACGAUGUCUAAUGAAGUGAUAUUUUCUGUCGAUAUGUCUUGAUCUACCAUGAUCCCUCGGUUCCUUGGUCAAGGCAACCGCACCUUCGUUAUCACAGAAAAUCUCCAUUGGCUCCUUUAUGGCAGGUACGACUCCAAGAUCACCGAUGAAGUUCUUUAGCCAUAUUGCCUCCUUCGACGCUUCGCUCGCUGCAAUGUACUCUGAUUCGCACGUUGAAUCAGCUACGGUUUCCUGCUUGGAACUCUUCCAUGUCACUGCUCCUCCAUUUAGGGUAAAGACCCAGCCCGACUGCGAACGGUAGUUGUCCCUGUCGGUCUGAAAACUGGCGUCACUAUACCCUCGCACCUUCAAGUCAUCACUCCCUCCGAGGACUAAGAACCAUUCCUUCGUCCUCCGAAGGUACUUAAGGAUAUUCUUCACCGCAAUCCAAUGUGCUUUGCCAGGAUUCCCUUGAUAUCUGCUAACCAUGCUCAAAGCGAAGGCUACAUCAGGGCGAGUACAAGUCAUAGCGUACAUGAUUGAGCCAACUGCGGAAGCGUAUGGUACUCGGCUCAUUUCUGCUAUCUCAGCUUCGGUACUCGGACUUUGAGUCUUACUCAAUUUGGCAUUACUUUGUAUCGGUAGUUCUCCCUUCUUUGAGUUUUCCAUACUAAAACGUUUUAGUACCUUCUCUAAGUAAGUAUUCUGACUAAGUCCAAUUAGUCUCUUACUUCUUUCUCUUACUAUCCUUAUUCCCAAAAUGUAAGAAGCCUCUCCGAGGUCCUUCAUAGCGAAGCACUUCCCGAGCCAGGACUUAACUUCCUGCAGAGUCGGGAUGUCGUUUCCUAUGAGUAAAAUGUCAUCGACAUAUAGAACGAGGAAGCUUACUAUACUCCCACUGGCUUUGACAUAUACACAAGAUUCGUCUUCGCUUCGUACAAAUCCAAACUCUUUGACUUUCUCAUCGAAGCAAAGAUUCCAUCUGCGAGACGCUUGCUUAAGUCCAUAAAUGGACUUCUCAAGCUUACACACUCUAUUCGGAUGCUUCGGAUCCACAAACCCCUCUGGCUGAGCCAUGUAAACAUCCUCAGCCAACUUUCCGUUAAGGAAAGCGGUCUUGACAUCCAUUUGCCAAAUCUCAUAAUCAUGAAAUGCGGCAAUUGCUAGCAUCACUCUAAUAGAUUUAAUCUUCGCAACUGGUGAGAAGGUCUCAUCAUAGUCAACUCCGGGAGUUUGAGUAAAGCCCUUCGCAACCAAUCGCGCUUUAUAUGUGUGUACGUUUCCAUCCACGUCGGUCUUCUUCUUGAAGAUCCAUUUGCACCCAACGGUCUUACGUCCGGGCACAUAAUCAACCAAAUUCCAAACUUGGUUAUCAUACAUGGAUUGGAUCUCGCUAUCCAUUGCCUCUUUCCAUUUUGCAGACUCCGGGCCUGCCAUGGCUUCCUUAUAGCUAUUAGGUUCAUCAAGAUUUAUUAGUGUACCAUCACUAAUAUACGUGUCCCCUUCGGUAGUAAUAUGAAAACCAUAAAACUGGGGUUGAACUCUAACUCUAUCGGAACGUCUAAGAGGUAAGGAUUCGUCAAUCGGUUCAACCGGAGUUUCCUCCUCGGGUUGAAUGCCAGCGGUAGAGGUUCCUUCAUCUAUCGACUCUUGAAUCUCUUCAAGUUCGAUUUGCCUCCCACUGUCUCCUUGGCUUAUGAGUUCUCGCUCUCGGAAAACUCCUCUCCUCGCAACGAAGACAACAUUGUCCUUCGGUCUAUAGAAGAGAUAUCCAAAGGAUGUCUGCGGGUAGCCGAUGAAAAUACAUCGCUCACUUCGAGGUUCAAGCUUGUCGUGAGUAUCUCGUCUUACGAAAGCCUCGCAACCCCAAACCUUGAUAUGUGCCAACGAGGGAGCUUUCCCUGUCCACAUCUCGUGAGGUGUUUUGGCAACCUUCUUAGUAGGGACUCGGUUAAGGAUAUGGGCGGCAGUCUCUAAGGCAUACCCCCAAAAAGAGAUUGGUAGUGAAGCACGACUCAUCAUAGAGCGAACCAUAUCCAAUAAGGUUCGAUUACGCCUUUCUGCCACACCAUUCAACUGCGGUGUCCUAGGAGGCGUCAAUUGCGAAACUAUUCCACACUCCUUGAGAUAAUCGUGGAAUUCAAGACUUAGGUACUCUCCUCCUCGAUCGGAUCGAAGCAUCUUGAUUUUCCUGCCCAAUUGAUUCUCCACUUCAUUCUUGAACUCUUUGAACUUUUCAAAGGUUUCUGACUUUUGCUUGAUUAAGUAGAUAUACCCAUAUCUACUAUAGUCAUCGGUAAAAGUCACAUAGAAGCGGUUCCCAUCCUUCGUGGUUGAUCUAAACGGUCCACAUACAUCGGUAUGUAUUAGGUCCAAUAGACCCUCGCCCCUUUCACAUGUACUCGUGAAGGGUGACUUAGUCAUCUUUCCAAGCAAACAAGACUCGCAUGUGUCAUCUUCCCUAAGGUCGAAUGACUCCAACACUCCAUCCUUUUGGAGUUGGGCUAUGCGUUUCUUGUUGACAUGUCCAAGACGACAAUGCCACAAGGAUGCUUUAUCCAUACUAGUGGAAGAAUCAAUAUUCAAAACAUCAUUUCCUAAGUUAUCAACAAUCAUAACGGUUUCAUAUAUUCCAUUACAUGGUAUAGCUUCAAAGUAAAAGACACCAUUUAGAUAAGCCAAAAUAGAACCAUUCUCAUUAUUAAAAGAAAAUCUAAAUCCUUGUCUAUAUAAACCAUGAAAUGAAAUGAUGUUUCUAGCCAUUUCUGGCGAAUAGCAACAAUUGUUCAAAUCUAAAACCAAACUAUUCCUAAGCACUAAAGAAUACACUCCAAUCUUGGUCACAGGCGACGAUCUUCUGUUCCCCAUGAUUAGAUUGAUCCUUCCUUGCUCCACAUCCCUACUUCUUCUUAGUCCCUGCACAUUAGAACAAAUGUGAUAACCACAACCGGUAUCAAGAACCCAAGAAAUAGCAUGAUUAGAAUCGUUAGAUUUGAUUGUAUAUAUACCUGCGAAAGAUGGCUUGAUCUUUCCUUCUUUGAUUGCUUGCAGGUAAUCCGGGCAGCUUCUCUUCCAAUGUCCUAUCUUGUGGCAGUGGUGGCACUCUGCCUCCUUCGGGUUAGAGCAGGGCUUGGCGGGAUCAACUUUGGUCCCACUAGAAGAGGCACCAUCUCGGGCUUUCACCUUGCGAUAGUUCUUCGAUGAAGCUUUCCUCUUCUUUCCCUUCCCUUGUCCAAUAGCCAAGACAGGAGCAGCGGGCGGAUUGGGAGUAGGUGCAACAGACUUGUCCUUGAAGUUGCUCUCAGCAACCCUCAAGAGACCUUGGAGCUUGCUUAGGGUGACCUCUUCUUUGUUCAUGUGGUAGGUCAUCCUAAAUUGGUUGUACAUCGGAGGCAAAGAGUGAAGCACCAUGUCGAUCGCCAAGUCUUCACCGAAGUCAACAUUUAACUUGCGGAGGCGGUCAACAUACCUUUGCAUCUUUUGCAAGUGCACGGUAAGAGAUUCUCCAUGACCCAUCUUCGCGGAAAUCAUGUUAGUGAAAAUCUCGUACCUCUCUUGUCUCGCGUUUUGGUGGUACCUCUCCAAUAAGUCUUGAUGCAUCUCGUACGGGUACAUGUCCUCGUAGGACUUUUGGAAUUCGGAGUUCAUGGUGGCGAUCAUGAUGCAAUGUACCUUCGUUGCAUCUCGCUCAUGAGUUUCAAAGGCGGUGAUUUCGGCGGGAGUAGCAAUUUCGGGGUUGAUUUUCUCGAGCUUCUCAUCGAGGACAUACUCCUUAUCCUCAUAGCGAGCAAUGGUGCGAAUGUAUCUUAUCCAUUCGCUAAAGUUCGUUCCAUCGAAGGUGACCUUUUGGCAAAGGCUCAUCAACGUGAAAGAACUAGCAGCAGCGUUGUUUGCGUUCGACAUCUACAAUUAGAAAAGGACAAAGAUAGAUUAGAAUAAGAAUCCCUAAUUAUCACCCAAUAAGAAAAUUAGGGCUAGGAUCCAACAAUAACAUUUACAUACUAGAAAAGGGAUGCCGUAAUCUAACAUGCAAAUAAAUUGAAGGUAAGUGAAUGACGAUUCACUAAUUCUCCAUCACAAAACUUAAACUAUUAGUCCUAAGUGUUUUUGAGAAUUCCUAGGUUCGGAUGAGAUUCAUUGAAACUAUUCAAUGGCAUGUUUAAAUCUCGAUAUGCCCCUCUUGUUUGUGACUGGGAUGCCGAGGAUCACAAAGCGGGUGUGAAUUACCAUGCAAAUUCACAUGGUGCCUUCAUUGUAACAAUCACCUAUUCGAUGUGCCGGUAAACCACACACGCUCCAUCGAACUAUGAUAAACAAUGAAUCACCCUUUGCCACCUUCGCUUAGAACCAAUUAGUGUGCCGGUAAACCACACACGCUCCACUAACAUCUUAGCAAGGUGCAAAGUGUAAUUUCAUGGGAUUGCAUCAAUUCACUUUUCCUAAAGUAACUAGGAUUGGGAAAUUUUAAAAAAAUGUGUAGUUACUUUAUAUUUCUUAUUAUACUUUUAAUGAGAGGAUGAGGUUGCCCUAUCCUACCCGUUCGGCUAACGACCCUCCACCAAUCAAGCAAGCGGUGGGUGUGAGUGUACACCCAUUAAGCGCCAUUUUAUAGGCCGCAACCUUAUACCCACCUUAUAGAUCGGCUUCGUGAAUGAGGCCUACUAACGGUAAGACUAGCAUUUAGUUAUACAUAUAUAUAUUAUUCUAGUAAUAUCAUAUUAGUAUAGGGUUGUAUUUUAAAACUUUUAAAAUCUAGGGUUUGAAAUUUAAGUUGUCUAAAUUAAAACUUUUAAUCACAAAAGUAAAUUUCAAAACAUGAGGGUAGGUUUUAAACAUUUAAAACAUGGAGGAUCAAAUAACAAAUAAUUCCAAUUAACAAUUAAUAUCCUAAUUAUCUAUAUUUGAUUUAUUCAAGAUUUCUUUUAAAGAUAAUUACCAAAAUAAUCAAAAUAAUUAAUUAAUUAUCAUAUAAGGAAAUUAAAUAUUUAAUUAGUUGAUAAUUACCUUUAACUAGAUCAAGAUAAUAGUUAUAUUUAUCAGAAAAACGAAUUAAUGUUGAUCUAAUUAGUUUAUGGUAAGUUAAGAUAAGAUAAACACAAAGAAAUCCCGAAUCUGGCCAUUCCUGACGCCUGGACUCGCCGAGUGCACAAAUGGACUCGCCGAGUCAGGCCUACUCGCCGAGUCCACUUUGAGACUCGCCGAGUCCAUGACUCAGAAACCAAAAAUUCGAAUUUUGCAGGUUUGUUUCAGUUAAUCAAGCAACAAUUUACAGAAAACCAAGCUAGGCUCUGAUACCACUGAUGGGUUUUAGCCAUAAGAACUUUCCUAUGUGCGCAUGCAAAACCCUAAUGCUUGGAUCUAGGCUUUCUAAUAAACAUGCAUUGAAUCCAAGUCUUCUAAUGACUAAUUAGGUUAAAUAACAACAUUGAAACAGAUCUAGAAUCAUACCUUUGAGUUCCUUGUUGAUCUUGAGGUCUUGGAGCUUCUAGAGUCACAAGUGUCACUCCUCUAAUGGCUUACAAACACCAAUAGCAAUAAGAAUGAUUUAGGAGAGAGGAGAGGGGAGGAAUUCGACCAGAGGUUCCUUACUUUAGGUGAAGUGUCGAAUUCCAUCAGCCAUGGGGUCUAUUUAUACUUGUAGACUCCUUAAGGAUUACAGAUAAGUCCCUAUCAGAUAAUCUUCUCUUAAGGCUAUCCAAAUCCAUUCCUAGAUAACUCUAAUGGACGAUUUUAGCUAUCCUAAUCCUCUUAGAAUCCGUCCAUAGCUUAUCCAAAUGGAUUUACAGUCUAAAGCUUAACUAUCAAACAAUUGACAGUUUAUACCCCUUUAUUUAAUUAAUCUCUUUAAGUCACCAAAUUAAUUCUAAUUAAUUCUAUGACUUAUAUUAAUCAAAUAACAAUAUAUUAUUCAUUAUAUUAUUCACAUAAUAUAUUAAUAAUAUUUACUCUCUCUUAAUAAAUCAUCCUAUCAAGUUGCUAUGGUGAAGGCAACCCAAAAGGACCAUGCACAACCGGAUCAAAUACUUGCCUAAUAUAGUUGCAGCCUUAGACACUAUUCCAACAAAGGGCCCUCUCCCUAAACUUGGCGGUAAAUUCCUCCACAGUCUCUGUCGUCUGCUAGAGGUCCUGAAACUCUCUAGCAAGCUGAUGCACCUCAAUAACAGGUGCGAACUCGGCCCUGAACUUGGUCAUGAAAUCACUCCAGGUCAUCACAUCCAAUAUUGGUUCAUCACCAAUGGCUCGUCCGACCUCCUCCCACCAAUCUC